GCUGUUUUCUUGAUCAAAUUGUACGCAAGAAGCUUAAUUGAAAGAAAAAUUUGCUACAUCGUAUGUUUUUUUGGAGAAAGUUUAGAACGUGGUGGAGACGCAUGGAAGCAGUAGGACCCAUUGCGGCCACAUUCCCCCCCAAUUUUAAAAGGAAAGGGGCUCCAGCUGUUGAGGAUAAUUCCGAACUGACCGUGUCAUUGAAUGAGGGAACAUCUUCCAGUUCUAAUAAUUCAACACAAUGAAAGCAUACGUUUGUUUUUGUUAUAUAUGUUUUUUAUGUUUUUUUAA